GAGUUUGAUCCUGGCUCAGAACGAACGCUGGCGGCGUGCUUAACACAUGCAAGUCGAACGAGAAAAUUUCCUUCGGGAAGCGAGUAGAGUGGCGCACGGGUGAGUAACGCGUAGGUAAUCUAUCCUAAUAUUUGGGAUAACAUCGGGAAACUGGUGCUAAUACCGGAUACCCUUCAUUGCUGCUGGGCGAUGGAGGAAAGGUGGCCUCUUCAUGAAAGCUACCGUAUAAGGAUGAGCCUGCGUACCAUUAGCUAGUAGGUGGGGUAAUGGCCCACCUAGGCACCGAUGGUUAGCGGGUCUGAGAGGAUGAUCCGCCACACUGGAACUGGAACACGGACCAGACUCCUACGGGAGGCAGCAGUGAGGAAUAUUGCGCAAUGGGGGAAACCCUGACGCAGCGACGCCGCGUGAGUGAGGAAGGUUUUCGGAUCGUAAAGCUCUGUCAGAAGGGAAGAAGUGUUAUAUGGUUAAUACCCGUAUAAUUUGACGGUACCUUCAGAGGAAGCACCGGCUAACUCCGUGCCAGCAGCCGCGGUAAUACGGAGGGUGCAAGCGUUGUUCGGAAUUACUGGGCGUAAAGGGCGCGUAGGCGGCCUGCUAAGUCAGAUGUGAAAGUCCACGGCUCAACCGUGGAAGUGCAUUUGAAACUGUCAGGCUUGAGUAUCGGAGGGGAAAGUGGAAUUCCCGGUGUAGAGGUGAAAUUCGUAGAGAUCGGGAGGAACACCGGUGGCGAAGGCGACUUUCUGGACGAAUACUGACGCUGAGGCGCGAAAGCGUGGGGAGCAAACAGGAUUAGAUACCCUGGUAGUCCACGCCGUAAACGAUGUGAACUAGGGA
rnacentral:rRNA from 1 species